ACUGUAAGCAGAGCAAAAAAGUUAAAAAAUGAUAAAUAAAAUUAAAAAGUAAAAUAAACAGGUUAGUGUCACAUCUUGUCCAGAAGGGGAAGGAAGAGGUGACCAGAUUCCUUUACACUUAGUGCGGUCCCUGUGUCUCCUGUGUGGUUGCUGCUGAUGUGUGAAAUUCAGGUCACUUGCCAGAUGGUGUUGUUAGCCACCUCUGGAGUGUCUGCCUCUAGGAAGCUUAGAGCAUCUCCUUCCAGGAAGAAGGAUGGAAGGAUGGGCUUUCACCUAUUUUUC